AAAAUUUAAAUUUAAAAUACUAAAAUAGUAAAUAAAUAUUUAUUGAAACUUAAAUAAUUUGGCGGUAUUUUAGUUCAUUUAGAGGAAUCUGUUUAAUAAUUGAUAUUCCACGAAUAAAUUUACUUAAUUUAUAAUUUUGUAUAUCGUUGUUGUAAAAAUAUUUUUUAAAAAAAUUAAUAUUUAAAAAUUAAUAAUUAAAAUUAAAUCAGAUCAAGAUGCAGAUUAUAAUUAAGAAUAUAAUGGAUUACAAUAAAUUUAUUUAAAUGGAUUUUAAUUUGUAAAAAUUAAUUGAAGGUGGAUUUAAAUGUAAUUUUAUUUAAUUUAAUAAAAUGAUUAAAAAUUAAAAUAUGU
rnacentral:rRNA from 1 species